rnacentral:miRNA from 1 species
UUAAGUAGUUGCGCCGAAGGU